rnacentral:rRNA from 1 species
GAUGAACGCUGGCGGCGUGCCUAAUACAUGCAAGUCGAACGAAGGUAGCAAUACCUUAGUGGCGAACGGGUGAGUAACACGUAGGUAACCUGCCUUUCAGUUGGGGAUAACCGAGGGAAACUUUGGCUAAUACCGAAUUCGUGCUUCGAAGGCAUCUUCGGAGCAUAAAAGGGGCCUUUAAAGCCUCGCUGAUUGAUGGACCUGCGGCGCAUUAGUUAGUUGGUGAGAUAACAGCCCACCAAGACGAGGAUGCGUAGCCGACCUGAGAGGGUGAUCGGCCACACUGGAACUGAGACACGGUCCAGACUCCUACGGGAGGCAGCAGUAGGGAGUUUUCGGCAAUGGGGGAAACCCUGACCGAGCAACGCCGCGUGAGUGAUGAAGGUCUUCGGAUUGUAAAGCUCUGUUAUAAGGGAAGAAUGGCAGCUAGAGGAAAUGCUAGCUGUUUGACGGUACUUUAUGAGAAAGCCACGGCUAACUACGUG